GAUGAAGAACGUAGCGAAAUGCGAUAAGUAAUGUGAAUUGCAGAAUUCAGUGAAUCAUCGAAUCUUUGAACGCACAUUGCGCCCCUUGGUAUUCCGAGGGGCAUGCCUGUUCGAGCGUCAUAUUAACCACUCCCGCUUGCGGGGUCUUGGGCUUCGCCUCCGGGCGGGCCUUAAAAUCAGUGGCGGUGCCGUCGGGCUCUACGCGUAGUAAAUUUUCUCGCGAUAGGGUCCCGGUGGAUGCUUGCCAACAACCCCCAACUUCUUAAAGUUGACCUCGGAUCAGGUAGGGAUACCCGCUGAACUUAAGCAUAUCAAUAGCGGAGGA
rnacentral:misc_RNA from 1 species